UGCCAAUGAGACAACUCUCCAUCUAAGUCACAAUUUAUAAAAGUAAACCAUUAUAGGUCAAGCCUUGGCUCACACCGAACCGCUAGCUAUAAGGGCCCCAAAAAUUACUAGACUAAGUGAAAAACCAUACGAACGGGGAAGCCAACGGUCUAAUCUAUCAUGUCUAUAUAAAAACGAGAAACGAGAAACACGUAUAAACUACAUAAACAGACGGCAUUUACUGUACAUCAGACUCCUGACUUAUGACAGGUGCAAACAUUUGCAGAUGCAUAUUGAACAUUUAAGAUCGUUUUGUAUCAUUCGGUUCUGCCAUAUUGACGUACUUCAUAGACUCUCCUUUUUGCUGAGAGAUUAAACAGUAAAAAGGGGAAAUACAAAGGGGAGAAUAAAAGAAAAACAUAUGACGAAAAAAGAAGAAGACAAAACCAUGACUUAAAAGAAGAAAACCGAAAAGACAAUAGUCAACCAAUCACAUUACAGAAAGGCAAUGAUUGAGCAACCUCCCAAGAAAAACCAGACACAAACUAAAUUGCUCCGGAAAGGUAGGCAGUAUUUCGUAAUAAACUAGUGACAUCCCUAGUGUUGAUCAUGGCAAGUAAAAAAAUAGGUGAUAUGCCGCCGAGUACGGGAAAAAGUAAAAUAACAAAAAUACCGAACUCCGAGGAAAAUUCAAAACGGGAAAGUCCAUAGUCAAAUGGCAAAAUCAAAAGCUCAAACACAUCAAACGAAUGGAUAACAACUGUCAUAUUCCUGACAACAUUUUCUCAUGCCGAAAAUGGUGGAUUGUAGCUACUACAUGUAGAUCACAGAUUUCAUUUUAUAUUUAAAAUUUGCUGGCGAGAAAUGUAAAAUUGCAUUUAAAAGUUUAACAUUGAAAGUUGAAUGUCAUAUUCUUAAAUUGCUGCAGACACUUAGCAGAUCAAAUCCCAGACUUGAAGCGGACUUUACCGUGUGUCAUGCAUGUCACUUGUAUAAUUGUAUAAGUAACGACAGGGGACUGUAAUUUAAGCAAACCAAUCCAUUGGUACUUAUAAGGAAGUAAAAGUAGAUAAAAAACUGAUGAACCUAUGUGAAAGUUUAACAACCUGACAUAUCAUUGAUUUGUGCACUAAAUAAGCUA
rnacentral:lncRNA from 1 species